GAUGAACGCUAGCGGCAGGCCUAAUACAUGCAAGUCGAACGGUGUCUUCGGACAUAGUGGCGCACGGGUGCGUAACACGUACGCAACCUACCUUACAUUGGGGGAUAGCCUUUCGAAAGGGAGAUUAAUACCGCAUAAGACAGUAGCUGGGCAUCCAGCAGCUGUUAAAGAUUUAUCGAUGUAAGCUGGGCAUGCGUCCAAUUAGCUAGUUGGUGAGGUAACGGCUCACCAAGGCAAUGAUUGGUAGGGGAACUGAGAGGUCAAUCCCCCACACUGGCACUGAGAUACGGGCCAGACUCCUACGGGAGGCAGCAGUAGGGAAUAUUGGGCAAUGGACGCAAGUCUGACCCAGCCAUGCCGCGUGCAGGAUGAAGGCGUUAUGCGUUGUAAACUGCUUUUAUUUGGGAAUAAACCCCUUUACGUGUAGAGGGCUGAAGGUACCAAAUGAAUAAGCACCGGCUAACUCCGUGCCAGCAGCCGCCGUAAAAC
rnacentral:rRNA from 1 species